rnacentral:rRNA from 1 species
UGCGUAGGUGGUCAUGUUAGUCGUUUGUUAAAUCCCACGGCUCAACUGUGGAGAUGCGGGCGAAACGGCAUGACUCGAGAGCGUGAGAGGUACAUGGAACUCAUGGUGUAGGGGUGAAAUCCGUUGAUAUCAUGGGGAACACCGAAAGCGAAGGCAAUGUACUGGCGCGUUUCUGACACUCAAGCACGAAAGCGUGGGUAGCGAACG